AUUGAACGCUAGCGGGAGGCCUUACACAUGCAAGUCGAACGGAGUGGCGAACGGGUGAGUAAUGUAUAGGAACGUGCCCAGUAGCGGGGGAUAACUACGCGAAAGCGUAGCUAAUACCGCAUACUAUUAGAGCGGCCGAUUGCGGAUUAGCUAGUUGGUUGGGUAAUGUCUCACAAAGGGUCAGAUCCGUACCUGGUUUGAGAGGAUGACCAGCCACACGGGAACGGAGACACGGCCCAGACGCCUACGGGAGGCAGCAGUGGGGAAUUUUGGACAAUGGGGGAAACCCUGAUCCAGCCAUGCCGCGUGUGCGAUGAAGGCCUUCGGGUUGUAAAGCACUUUAGGCAGGAAGGCGGUACCUGCAGAAUAAGCACCGGCUAACUACGUGCCAGCCGCCGCGGUAAUAC
rnacentral:rRNA from 1 species